UACGGGGGGGAGCAAGCGUUGUUCGGAUUUACUGGGCGUAAAGGGCGCGUAGGCGGCGUGACAAGUCACUUGUGAAAUCUCCGGGCUUAACCCGGAGCGGCCAAGUGAUACUGUCGUGCUAGAGUGCGGAAGGGGCUACCGGAAUUCUCGGUGUAGCGGUGAAAUGCGUAGAUAUCGAGAGGAACACCGGUGGCGAAGGCGGCCAACUGGACGAAUACUGACGCUGAGACUCGAAAGCGUGGGGGAGCAAACAGG
rnacentral:rRNA from 1 species